rnacentral:rRNA from 1 species
UACAGAGGGUGCGAGCGUUAAUCGGAAUUAUUGGGCGUAAAGAGCUCGUAGGCGGUCUGUCGCGUCGGUCGUGAAAACCUGCAGCUUAACUGUGGGCUUGCGGUCGAUACGGGCAUGACUGGAGUUCGGCAGGGGAGACUGGAAUUCCUGGUGUAGCGGUGAAAUGCGCAGAUAUCAGGAGGAACACCGGUGGCGAAGGCGGGUCUCUGGGCCGAUACUGACGCUGAGGAGCGAAAGCGUGGGGAGCGAACAGG